rnacentral:rRNA from 1 species
GGCGCAGCCUGAUCCAGCCAUACCGCGGUGGGUGAAGAAGGCCUUCGGGUUGUAAAGCCCUUUUGUUGGGAAAGAAAUCCAGCUGGNUAAUACCNGGAUUGGGAUGACGGUACCCAAAGAAUAAGCACCGGCUAACUUCGUGCCAGCAGCCGCGGUAAUACGA